rnacentral:rRNA from 1 species
AACGAACGCUGGCGGCAGGCUUAACACAUGCAAGUCGAGCGCCCCCGCAAGGGGAGCGGCAGACGGGUGAGUAACGCGUGGGAAUCUACCCAGUUCUACGGAAUAACACAGGGAAACUUGUGCUAAUACCGUAUACGCCCUACGGGGGAAAGAUUUAUCGGAAUUGGAUGAGCCCGCGUUGGAUUAGCUAGUUGGUGGGGUAAUGGCCUACCAAGGCGACGAUCCAUAGCUGGUCUGAGAGGAUGAUCAGCCACACUGGGACUGAGACACGGCCCAGACUCCUACGGGAGGCAGCAGUGGGGAAUAUUGGACAAUGGGGGAAACCCUGAUCCAGCGAUGCCGCGUGAAUGAAGAAGGCCUUAGGGUUGUAAAGUUCUUUCACCUGUGACGAUGAUGACAGUAACAGGAGAAGAAGCCCCGGCUAACUCCGUGCCAGCAGCCGCGGUAAU